AUUCUGGAGUCAUAGGAGUGUGUGGUUCUAACAACCUUAUCAGAAAAGAUCAGACCUGUCUUAGAAAGGGGCCAAACCAAGCUAUGGGCAAGACCGUC